GAUGAACGCUGGCGGCGUGCCUAAUACAUGCAAGUCGAACGAACGGACGAGAAGCUUGCUUUUCUGAUGUUAGCGGCGGGCGGGUGAGUAACACGUGGAUAACCUACCUAUAAGACUGGGAUAACUUCGGGAAACCGGAGCUAAUACCGGAUAAUAUUUUGAACCGCAUGGUUCAAAAGUGAAAGCCGGUCUUGAUGUCACUUAUAGAUGGAUCCGCGCUGCAUUGGCUAGUUGGUAAGGUAACGGCUUACCAAGGCAGCGAUGCAUAGCCGACCCGAUAGCGGGAAGCGCGACACUGGAACUGAGCCACGGCCCUGACUCCGACGGGAGGCAGCAGUACGGAAUCGUCCGAACAGUGCGAAAUCCUGAACGAUCAACGCCGCGUGAGUGAUGCAGGGCUUCGUAUCGUAAAACGCUCUUAUGAUUGAAGAACAUAUGUGUAAGGAACUGUGCAUAUCGUGACGGUACCUAAUCAGAAAGCACCGGCUAACUACGUG
rnacentral:rRNA from 1 species